AGGGGGCCAGGCCCCCGCGGCCGGGUGCAGGCCCCAGGCUUCCCCCAGCCCCGGAAUGGUCUGCCCUGUAGGAAACGCACACGCUCCACUAUUGUCUCAUCAGCACAAAGUUCUGCCACACUGCGGGGAAAGUCUGGAGGCUCACGAUGACUCAGACACAGAUAAUUCUUCCCCUAAUAGCACUGAAUCACGAUCCCAGCGGCUAGUGUCACCCCUUUUCUCAAGGACUAACGCUGCCGCAGAUCCAGUUACGGGAAGCUGUUUACGCACACACGGAUACACACGCACGCAUCCAUACGUGCAGACGUGUUGGGAAUGCAUUUUCAGCCGACUUAAGCACCUGAGCACUAAGCCUCGAGUCCAGAUUUCUACGUGGGUGUCUUUCCGGGGGUCCCAGAUGCCCGUGCGUUACAAACGGCUUAGGGUGUGCGUUCACUUAACUUCCUGACUCCUGGCCAUGUUGUUCCCUCCUCGUGAUAACUCCGCAGUGGAGAUGGAUUCCGUCCAAGACACCGACGUAGCUCUGCUGAAGGAUCAGCGCCGCAGUCCAGGCGUUACCUUCCGCUGUGGCAUUUCUCUCGGUGCCUAACAUUCGCUAACGUUCACUGCUGAUGCAGCCGGGGCCUCUCCAACUUAUGGCGUUUACAACAGAAACUACUACAGAAGAGCUCAAGGGAGGAGCUUGUGCCUGCAAAGCUGGACUCUUAGACACGGGCCAUUCUGCACGUGUGUGAUGUGUGUGUGGUGUAUGUCUGUGUGCAUGCGUGCGGUAUGCGUGUUUUUCGAUGGAGGAACGGGGGAGUAGAGAGACAAGGAGCAAGAGGGGUGAGAACCUUUGCAAGAAGGAUCUGCGAAUCAUAAAAUGCAUAGAAUAACGUGGGCACUCAGAGAAUACACUGUGUUCAGACGAUGGAGCAAGCGAAAGCGUGUCAUCAGCAGGAGCGCUCACUACGGAAUUAAACAUAUGGCGAACCCUGCGCGGCGGGAGACAAACUUGGGAUUAUAUUUUAAGUAGUUUUCUACAAAAUGGCUGCAGACGGCUUGAAUCUGAAGUUAACUAACAAAAUAUUUUUAAUCUGGGUGUAGGAAACUAUCUCAGUCCUGCUCCUUAAAUUUCAUUUCUAUUGAAGGUGAUGACUAGCAUCUCUCAUACACACACACGCUUACUUCUAACGUGAUCUGCGGACAUUCCCCCAUGUUUACACUAAGAUAACUUCUUACCGAGCAGCUUUCUCUGCUGCGGGCUUUUAUCUGCAGGAUAAUGUAGGCUCAGACUGGCCGUGCUCUAGGCUUGUUUAUUCAUGGUUGAGACCUGCAUGUUGUUGGAAAGACUUUGGUGAAGAUUUCUUCUCUCUCCGUAGUAGCCAAGUCUGGAGUUGGCCUUCAACAGAUAGCCACACCUGAAUUUUUAGAUAGUUUAAUAAUCAGCGAAGCAUCUCUUCAAGAUUCUGUGCAAAAUAUACCCAUAUGUGUGAUACAGAGAAUGCCUGACUCAUUUUUCCCCACAGCAGAAAACUUAACAACUUUCCCAGGGAAUCAGCAUUUUUA
ensembl:lncRNA